GCGGAGCUUUCCUUUGGGAAGACGAAGGGCCUGACAGGUGGGCCCCACCUGUCAGUGGCUGCGGCCGCGCGCACGUGGCGGGGCCUAUUGGGCUCGGUUGGUUCGAGCGGAACGGGGCCUGUUCGGCCCCAAACGACCGGGCUGGUCCGGUUUUCCCUUUUUUUGUCUUUUUUUCCUUUUUCUCAUUUCGUUGAUAUCUUUUGAUUUUGAACUCCGAAUUGAUCCACAUAAAUUCCAAAAAAUUUGUAAAAUCAUGUUUUGUCAUGAUUAAACUUUUGAGAGUGAUUUCCCCUAAAAAUAAAAUAUCUAAAAAUACAUUCGCUCUAUAAAUGCCUUUAGGGCUAUAUAACUAUUUAAAUAAAAUAGUUUUUCAACUCCAAAGAUUAUCCAAAAAUUAUAGUAUAGCUUAUUUAUGCAAUAAACCCCUUUUAUAAAUAAACCCUAUUGGUUUGAAGAUCCAAAGCUCAAAUGGGUGAAAACCCUAGGGUUUAAAAAUGAAAUAAAAACCUUUUUAAGGCCUUUUGAGAUUUAAAUUUGAAUGCAAAAUAUGCAAUUGUGGCAUGAUGCUCAUGGAUGC
rnacentral:lncRNA from 1 species